UACGGAGGUGGCAAGCGUUGUUCGGAAUUACUGGGCGUAAAGGGCGCGUAGGCGGCCUACUAAGUCAGACGUGAAAUCCCCCGGCUUAACCUGGGAACUGCGUCUGAUACUGGAAGGCUUGAGGAUGGGAGAGGGAUGUAGAAUUCCAGGUGUAGCGGUGAAAUGCGUAGAUAUCUGGAGGAACACCGGUGGCGAAGGCGACAUCCUGGACCGGUAUUGACGCUGAGGCGCGAAAGCCAGGGGAGCAAACGGG
rnacentral:rRNA from 1 species